AUCCGCAAACAGAGUCCCAUUAAAAAAUCCAAGCGCGUGUGCUCCUUUCCUCACUCUCCCAAAUAGAUUCUCGCAAAUCUCCGAUCAGAAUCAACCACCGACUGCCACUAUCUUCUUUGCACGUGUUCUCUUCACAACACAGCCUCAGCCAUGCGCGUCGCUACACUCGAUUGUUUAUCCAACACCUAUGUGACUCACAAUCGCAAAAGCGAUAAUGGUAGACGGAGAAAUUAGCAACUACGAUUCCUGAAAAAGGAAAGCCGGCGGUUUUUCUUUCAAACGGCUGAUAAUCCACGGCGAUCGUACUAGUUAAUGUGCCUCUGUUCUCUCGCGGAGAAUAACAUAUAAAUGAACAUUAAUAUUUCAUUUUUGUAUUUCGGUUAUGUAGGUUUUUGUGAAAGAGAUCAUGUCAUCAAUGCUUGAAACUCGAAGGUCAAUAACUCACACGAAGUUCCAAGCUAAUUGCACCUCUAAUUUAUGCUUCGUCCGUUGCCAGUCUAGGGUACUUCUCCAUAACUGUUCGCACCGUUUUGUUCCUAAUUCGACGUCGUUUUCUUCGGUAGUUUCUUCCAAAACACUACUGCAAGGAGGCGGAGGGUCCGGUGUUUGGGGACUAGGUAUUUUAAGGAACCAGAAGGCAAGAGAGUAUAGAAUUUUGGCUAACACUGAAGAUAGUGAUUCCACAGCAAGUUCCAGCGAGAAAAGGAACGAAAACGAAAGUGAGAAGGUCAGUAAUAAUCCGCCAAAUUCGGGGCCAAAGCAGAGGAGAGAGAAGCAAGGGAAGAGUCAAUGGUGGUCGAAGAAACAGAGCUGGAAAUGGCAACCCUUGAUUCAGGCGCAGGAAAUCGGGGUUUUGCUUUUGCAAUUAGGGAUAGUUAUGCUCGUAAUGCGAUUGCUUCGUCCUGGGAUCCCUUUACCCGGGUCGGAACCGAGGCAACCGACGACUUUUAUUGGCGUGCCUUACAGUGAGUUUUUGAACAGGAUCAAUAAUAAUCAAGUGCAGAAAGUGGAGGUUGAUGGGUUGCAUAUCAUGUUCAAAUUGAAAAAUGAUGGGAGUAAUAGUUAUGAGAGUAGCAAAGUGGUCAGUAGUAAAUUUCAGGAGUCGGAGUCUUUGUUGAGGAGUGUGUCACCUACUACAAAGAGGAUUGUGUAUACGACUACUCGACCGAUUGAUAUCAAGACUCCCUAUGAGAAAAUGCUCGAGAAUCAGGUGGAAUUUGGAUCCCCUGAUAGGAGGUCCGGCGGAUUCCUCAACUUCGCAUUGAUAGCUUUAUUCUAUAUGGCUGUGCUUGCAGGGCUUCUUCACCGGUUCCCUGUUAGCUUUUCACAGCAUCCAGCUGGCCAAAUUAGGAACCACAAGUCUGGAGGUUCUGGAGGUUCAAAAGUAGCACAGCUAGGAGAAACAAUCACUUUUGCUGAUGUUGCUGGUGUUGAUGAAGCUAAAGAAGAGCUGGAAGAGAUUGUGGAAUUCCUCAGGAAUCCAGACAGGUAUGUACGACUUGGUGCUCGCCCUCCUAGAGGUGUUCUCUUGGUGGGGCUUCCUGGUACUGGUAAAACUCUUCUUGCAAAGGCUGUUGCUGGAGAAGCAGAAGUGCCAUUUAUUAGUUGUUCUGCAAGUGAAUUUGUGGAAUUAUAUGUUGGCAUGGGCGCCUCCCGUGUGAGAGAUCUCUUUGCUCGGGCAAAGAAAGAAGCACCAUCAAUAAUUUUUAUUGAUGAGAUAGAUGCUGUUGCAAAAAGUCGUGAUGGAAAAUUUCGCAUUAUCAGCAAUGAUGAACGGGAGCAAACUUUGAAUCAGUUGCUCACUGAAAUGGAUGGGUUUGACAGCAACUCUGCUGUGAUUGUUCUUGGUGCAACAAAUAGAUCAGAUGUCUUAGAUCCUGCACUUCGUCGUCCAGGAAGAUUUGACCGUGUGGUUAUGGUGGAAACACCUGAUAGGAAUGGAAGAGAAGCCAUAUUAAAAGUGCAUGCUUCCAAGAAAGAACUCCCUCUUGAAGUAGAUGUUGACCUUAGUGACAUUGCAUCUAUGACUACUGGUUUUACUGGGGCUGAUCUUGCAAAUCUGGUCAAUGAAGCUGCUUUACUUGCUGGAAGGAAGAACAAAGUAGUUGUGGAGAAGAUUGAUUUCAUUCAUGCAGUGGAGCGGUCAAUAGCUGGCAUUGAGAAAAAGACUGCCAAGUUACAAGGAAGUGAGAGGGGUGUGGUUGCACGUCAUGAAGUUGGUCAUGCAGUAGUAGGUACUGCAGUUGCUAACCUCCUUCCAAGACAACCACGCCCUGAGAAGUUAAGCAUAUUGCCAAGAUCAGGAGGGGCAUUAGGCUUUACUUAUACACCUCCAACAAAUGAGGACAGAUAUUUGCUCUUCAUUGAUGAAUUACGUGGUCAUUUGGUUACACUUCUUGGAGGACGUGCAGCAGAAGAAGUUGUGUAUUCAGGUCGUGUCUCAACAGGUGCACUGGAUGAUAUACGACGAGCUACUGACAUGGCAUAUAAGGCAGUAGCAGAAUAUGGUCUUAAUCAGACAAUAGGGCCUGUGUCUCUAGCAACACUUUCUGGAGGUGGGAUGGAUGAGUAUGGAAUUGCUUCAUGGGGAAGGGAUCAGGGGCAUCUUGUCGAUCUUGUUCAAAAAGAGGUAAAAGUAUUGUUGCAAUCUGCCCUAGAUGUAGCACUUUGUGUUGUUCGUGCUAAUCCUACUGUCGUGGAAGGGCUUGGUGCCCAUCUAGAAGAAAAGGAGAAAGUAGAAGGUGAGGAGCUGCAGAGGUGGUUAAAAUUGGUAGUUGCUCCAAAAGAGCUCUCACUCUUCGUUAGAGGUGAGAAAGAGUCGCUUCUCCCGCAGCAGACUGGCUUGUGAUGGCAAUAUUUGCACAUUCAGCUCUUCAGUAUUAAGAAAAAUACAAAUUUAGCUUAUAGCACUUCAAACCAGCACAACCUUGGCUUCCCCUUAGCCAUACAGCAUUGUAUAUUUCACUGAGAUAAAUUUUGGUUCAUUUUGGUAUUAACAACCUAAAGAUACACCAAGUUGGGAAAUCUGAAGAUUUAUUUCUUCCGGAGCCUUCUCAAGCCCCCUUUGAUUCCUGCAGGGCUGAAACCUGGUUGAGAGGAAGAAAGAAGUUGAUCUAUGGACCAAUCAGCGCAAGAUUGUGGAAACUAUGAUCGGCAGCAGAUGAUUGAUUGCUGGAUGACCAAAAUGAAGAAAAAGUUUCUGAAAAAUUAAAGGUCGACUUUAGAAGAAAACUGCAAUUCCAGUUCUGAUGGGGAGUCAGAUUGACUCAGGAAUGUUUGUUAAAGAAUGAAGUCCCACAUCACAUUGAGAAGCUGUGUGAUGUUUCCCUAUAAGGCAAUGAAAUAUGGAUUUGACGUGAGUGAAUCAGCAAGCAUCAGACUUAAAUGUAACAAAAUAUCAUGAAAAAUGAUUAUGAAGAUUGUUUGAUGAUUUGACAUUGAUAUUUUUGUUAGGAGAGUAAAAUAUCAAUGUUGCUUUCUGAAACGACAUCAUCUUUGUUGUCUAUAGCAACAGGAAUCUGAAGAAGGCUAAGGAGCAGUUGUGGUCUUCAAUCUAGAGUAUUCGGUAAUGGUAUGAACUAUAAAGGAUGGCAGGUUCUUGCCAGUUGGAUGUAUUAUCUAGAGGGGUAGUUGUCUCGGGGAGCAUUAACCCUAUCCAUAU